ACGUUGAGGAGGAUCGGCGGCCGGUGAGGGAGAAGCAAGUCUGGUCUCUGUGAUUGAAGAAGGCGGCUCUGGGCUCCAUUGCGGGAAUCACACACAUACCUCAGAAUGCCGGGUCUAAGUUGUAGAUUUUAUCAACACAAAUUUCCUGAGGUGGAAGAUGUAGUGAUGGUGAAUGUCAGAUCCAUUGCUGAAAUGGGGGCUUAUGUCAGCUUGCUGGAAUACAACAACAUUGAAGGCAUGAUUCUUCUUAGUGAAUUAUCCAGAAGGCGUAUCCGUUCUAUCAACAAACUCAUCCGAAUUGGCAGGAAUGAGUGCGUGGUUGUCAUUAGGGUGGACAAAGAAAAAGGAUAUAUUGAUUUGUCAAAAAGAAGAGUUUCUCCAGAGGAAGCAAUCAAAUGUGAAGACAAAUUCACAAAAUCCAAAACUGUAAGUUGAUCUUUGAGUCAAAUUAGUCCACUAUCUGUGUGUUUAAUAAUUUGAAAUCUUAAUUUCAUACUGCUACUACCUUAAAGUAUUGCUUAUG
rnacentral:sRNA from 1 species